CUUUUGACUAAUUCUAAACAUAAGCAUAAAAAGGCCUGAAAGCAACAUUUAAGGGUAGCUCUAAGUUGUAGUCAUAAAAGCUAGCAUGUACGGAGCCCUUGCGAGGUGCCGGGCAUGCUAGUGACCCUUUAAAUACGUAUCACAUCUAAUUUAAUUUUCAGUGGCCCCAUAAGGAAAGCAUUUUCUUCUCCCACAGGUGAGGCAGUUGAGGCUCAGAAAAGUGACUUACCUAAGGUCACCUAGCAAGUUAGUGUCAGCACUGGUAUUCCAGUUUACAUCAGACUCCAAAGCCUAUGGCUGCCUCCCCCAGGAUCCCAUUCCUUUCCUCUAGGUAAGAGCGUUGGACCAGAUCCACCAAGAGUAGCCUAGAACCACGAAAUCAGCGUGUCCGCCACAGUAACAGGUGGGACAAAGCAAGACAGUUGUAGAAAUAAGUUAGACUUCACCUCUUCCAAAAAGCAGUGGACUAACCUUGCAAGCCAUUAGGUGGCUGCCAGCUUUAUCACGAGACAGGGAAAGGAUGUGAUUUUGUAUUUAUAGUGCACCCUCCCUGACACCAUGAAGAAGGGGCAUCUUGACCGCCAGCUGCAGUCAUGGGUAUGGGCAGCAAGCCUGGAUGGACUGAACCGCUCUGCACAGUAAAGGCAAAAGGGGCUCAAGGAGCCCUGAGGGAAGCCUGUAUAGGGAAACUUAGACCACAGUGGAGCCGGUCCUUACACAGGUCAACCUGGGGGGUGGCACCAGGGGGCUUCGGAAGGAUGGGCCCAAUUCUAAUUAAUGUUGAUAGCAUGGAUCCCCUCCGAGAGGCACAAGGAAGACCGUGUUCUGUGUCAGCGUUGGCCAAGCGCGGAGGCUGCCCGUGGGUGGUGUUCACCUUCUCGUUUCUGAUUUCCAGGCAGCCUCGGAACCCGUCCUGGACCCACAGCAAAUCCAAGCGUUUGAUCAGCUUUGCCAUCUCUACCGAGGAAGUUCCCGGCUGGCUCUCCUCACAGAACUCUCCCAGAAUCGCAGCAGUGAGAGCUACAGGCCAUUCAGUGGCUCCCAGAGCGGCCCCGCUUUCAACAGCAUCUUCCAGAAUGAGAAUUUCCAGCUACAGCUCAUUCCCCCACCUGUGACUGAGGACUGAGGCCUCUCUGGGGCCUGGCACUGGAGACCAGAGAUGAUCCUGAUGCAUCCAGGGAGGGACCCCCUCUCUAACUGGCUUAGCCCCUGUGCCUGCCCCCUUCUGAGCAGAGGUGGACGUCCAUGCCCAUCAUUCCCUGGGGAGACUCCCUGUCUAUCAGCAUCAGUUCACCAGACCUGUUGAUUUUGUUUUGCUUCUUCAGCAAAGGAAUGUCCUGUACUUCCUUCCACCUUUUUAAGAACAUAUGCUUUGCCCUUUGGGACUUUUUCCAGUUUGCCUGAAGCUUAGAGAAUAGACAGAACUCAGGCAGAGGGCACUCAGGAGUCUGUCCUACUUCAUCCCCUCCAGCUGCUGGGUAACAUGGAGGAACUUAGCUCCUGCUGCUGUCGGGAAGACAGAACAGUGGUGGGUCAGGCUGCAGGAGGACUGAAAGCUGCACUGGGCUAUGGAGGGACAAAGAUCCGGGGCAGGGCAUCUCCCAAAACCUAUUUGAGUGUAAGAUUUGCCCUACCAAACAAUAAAUGCCUGUUUAUGUUCUACA
ensembl:lncRNA